AAAACAGUUCUGUAAUUAGAAAUAUUUCGGUAAUUGUUCAAUCUGACGUCUUGUUUUCAACGAAUUUCGUUAAUCCGUUUGUUGACUUACCGGAACUCGUUUGUUUGUAUGUAAACAAAUAACUUUGCAAUUAAUUUUCGGUAAAAAACGCCGAAAACUGUAAAUUAAAACUGGCUGUCAGGAGAAACGUCAAAAUUCUAUUGUCAUUUUACGGCAGUUAAGCAGUCUCCCUCUCGCUCCUGCUACCGUAAUCAUUUGUCUCGAGUUUUCAAGUGUGCACGAGCGGAGUGAAUAGAAGCAAUCAUCGCCGUCGCCUUCUUUUCAAAGAUGGUGACACGCGUUCCUUGUGUUGAGGUGUUGUGAAAAGUUUUUUGUUCGAUUGUGGGGCCAAUGAAAUUGCUGCUUCCUUCACAUGGCUGUGGAAAACAACAACAACAACCCGGUAAUGUUCAAGGGAAUCUAAUGAAUCCACCUACCUGGCAGGCUGUUCUGUGGCAGGAUGGAUAAGGUUUAAGAACAGUUUAGCUGUGCGAGUAGUGGAUGGUCGGUACAAGCGGUAAUAUUUUGACUACCGCACAAAAGUAGUGGGCAGAGACGCAGGUUCUGAUCCUGUCCGGAUCGUCACGGCCCAUUCGUACCCGGUUUAGCCAGAAGGAUCUGAUCCAGCUGUGGUGACCGUUCCAGUACAUAGCGAUUCAACUUCUCACACUUUGUCCACCAUUUUCGCUGCUAACACCUCUGCAUAACGAUGCCCUCAAUUGCAUGGAGCUAUUUUAGAAACGAGCUAUCGGCCGGGGAAAGGAUGAUGGACACAAUUUGAAGAAAAGGAUUUCGACCAUAUUCAAGCAGCUGUUGAGUAUGAGCAAGUUUGCAUGUGUGCCACCGUCUUUCAACCGAAUUGAAACAAGACUAAUUAAAUCGACACCUUCAGGAAGCGGGGCAACACUGUUCAGCCGCAUCAGCUAUAUGCGGUCUACGCGAGCAACGGUGUAAAGUGGGUCAGUAUGAACUACAUCCCCUUCGGUGAGAAAGCCCUGCAGUGAAAUUGUACCUACCAGCGAACCUACAAUGAAGGAAAAAGAACUAUCAUCGAGGGUCAAAUUCUGCCCGAAAUCAUCCAAGAGCUAUCUUUCGUAAGUAAAAAAGCAUGUCAGCAAGUACUUGGAAGCUAGUCAAAUCUGAUGACUGUUUUGCGUACGAAUCUGCUAGUGGCCUGGAAAUACCCGAACAAUUAAGCGCAAUAUGGAAAGACAUCUCAGAUACGUUGGGUCAGUUUCUUAUUCCUAAAAGUGUCUGUGUGGUGGUAGACCGUGGUUUGGAUGAGCUGGCCCUUUCUUUACUACAUACACCUUUCCCGAGGUCGGUUCCGGAGUAACCAAUGUGAAAACGGACUCCAUCCGGGGCGGUGAAAAACUGACAAUCACCAUUCUUCUUAUGCCACCGCUUAACUGAGCACUGUGGUCUGGUCGAGGAAAACAACCAUGAAGGGGGCAGUUGAGCUGCAGGUGGCCGGGCACGUUGCAAGUCGAACAAGAUAGUGGAGAGUCUGGAAUAAACCUUCUCCCAGAAUAGGCACUUUAAUAAAAGUUGAUGUGAAGCGGAUCAACUUUUCAAUGGCAUUGGAGAUUCUGUCGUAAUUUUGAUGCAAUUGAUCAAAAUGCUUCGCUAUUCUCAGCGAGAUGAUACAGAUUUCUGCCAGGUUAAUAAGAAUUCCAAAGAAUUCUUACUUUGGUUCUAGAAAACUUAUUUUUAGAAUUUCUUAUGUUCCGCUAAUUGUAAUAUCAUAACGGCAUUAAUAAUGUUCUAGAUUAAUUGAAACGGUGAUUGAAUCUAAGAUCCGAACUAGCUAAUAAUUGAAAUGUUACAUACCAUGCAGGUUAAAAGUUCACGGAGAGGGGUGAGUCUAGUUCAAGUUAGGUGUACGAGCUUGAAUAAAUUAAAUAACAAAAAAAUAUUAACUUUAGUGAACUUUACAAAAAAAAUGAACAUUUGAUUAACCGUCCUAAUACUCAAUUAAAGCAUAUUCUGCUUCAUUUAUUAUAUUUUUGCUAAUUUUCAACGAAAAUAGUCUAAAGAGGUGACGCUGAACGUGCACAGCACAGAUCCGGGAUUCGCUGUGGACGACCUACGUUAGCUUCUCGAAUGACAGCAUCGAUGACUACAUGAAUAAGGUACCCGUGGUAUUGAUAACCAAAUUUAACCUAGGCAUCACUCUGUUCCAGUCUACGCCAGACGAGAUCAGCCGCACCAAGACUGACAUUACCCAGCUUACCACUCUCAGCUGUUCAUUAGACAAAGGCCGAAAGUGGAUAGGUUUAUGUCGAACAAUCUUGUUCAAUUGGGUGCGAUGUUCGAUUUCAAUCAAUGUGUUUAAGUAGUUAUAUUAUUAAUAAAUAGCAUUUAUGUUUGA